AAAAUAUCUUAAAACUGAAAAACGACUAUAAAAGAAGUGAAAUUUUUAGCUUAAUCGCAGGGCAUAACAGCCUAGGUUGUUCUGCAUUUGGUUCGACUCAUCGCAAGCUUGGAAACUCUAUUAUAUGUCCAAAACGAAUACUCGUAGCCCAAUUUCUAACCUCGGAAGAUACCCUGCUUAUUCCAUGCAACCAUCUUAUAUCAACUUGCCUUCUCUGCAUCUUCAAGCACAGCUUGAACGGCUUGAAGAUUUAUGGUAAGUCACAAGCAGCAAAGGAGUUCAGCUGCUCCGGGAGAGGGGAAGCGAUCACAUCCAUUCUGGCAAAGAAAAGGAGAAAUAAUUUC
rnacentral:lncRNA from 1 species